AAAUCCACCGACGCAUUUCUCCAGUAAAUUAUCACUAGAAAGUUGUUUUCAAAUAUUGGACGAAUGGCUUUAAUCACAUCAUCGUCCAGUGGCGAUUUAUGUUGAUAUUACUCCAAUUCGAUCACUCGAACGCUCGAUCCCGUUUUACUCAACUCUCUGUAAUUUCGGCAUUUUUUCAGAUAUCAACAUAAAACUUUCAGGAUAUAUUCUCGAAACUUGAAGCUUCAAGAAAAUAUAAUUAAAAAAAAAUCGAAUUUUUUUUUCCGCUAGGUUGGUGUAACCCCUUAAGAAGCAAUGCCAAAAAAUUCAACUAUAAUUAAGUGAUUUAAGUAUAAGCAUUGACAAUGCAAUUAGAGUUUAUCACGAAUGUAAGAGGCAAGGGGGUAAGCAAUGACCGUUAACAAAUGAUUAAAGAAUAUUAUUUUAAAUGAGUGACAAUGAGUUUAGCCAUGAGAUGUGUUUAAGAUAUUAAGUUAUAUUGCGACCGGCAGCGGGCACAGUUUAACAAUAGGUUAUUUGAAUGUUGAAUUGGCUAUGCAGAUGGUAACGACUCGAAUAAGACUGUCCGAUUCUGCGUGAGUCUGUUUAACGCGAGCCAUCUCGAUGGGGUUCAUCCUUGAGGAAGACCAGCGAUCCAAUGAAAAUCUGUUGCAACUUAGAAAUGCCUUGCAACCGUUAUAGAUACUCCUGCGACCAUCGCUUCCAGAAGUGAUUUUUGAGAUGAAGUGCUGCUAGAAGAUUAAAUCAUCACUCGACUCGGGUGGAGGCUAGCAUAGUACUGAUCUCUUCUUCGCUCUUGUGAGGCGACAGUGAACUUACGGCGUAAUCCAGUCGCGCGUGCGUGGAAGCGCUCCCUUUUUUUCCUUUCAAGUCUCUAAGCUAUUGAUGGAAAGCGUUAACAGAAGCAUGACUGCAUAAUUCCAUCCGGACAAAAUACACGAGCUUAUGCUAUGAAUUAUUUCAAAUCGAAUUUCUUUCAGCGAGCUCUUUUUAUUCAUAAGAAAGUGUAUUUUAUUUAUGAAAGAAUACGCCACGUAGCGGUGGGUAGUGGAAAUAAUACCAUCUUAAGUUAAAAUAUAUUCUACACAAACCUAUUUAUUAAUAAUGUAAGUUAACAUUUCUAAUUGAGGACAGCAUUUCAUUUUUUCUGUGUUAAUAAACUUUAAUCGUUAAUAAUUUAAAAACUAUUACAGUCUUGACAUUUCCGUAUUACGGUUGUCUUAGAAUAUUCCAAAAAAUCGGCUCUUGAAAGGACAGUUUUGGGUCCGAUAGUUUUGGGACAUCCCAUAUUUUAUAUAUAUACAUAUAUCUAUAUAUAUACAUAUGUAAUAAAUAUAUAUUUAUAUAUGUAUUUUUAUAAUACUAUUAUAAUUUUAUUACAAUACAAAAUAAUAUAUUCCGUUAUUUUUCAUUAUAAUGUAUAAUAUAUAAUUCGCUUUUAUUUUAUUUUUUGUGUUAGAAAUAUAAGAGAAUUACUUAUAUAUUUAUUCACAAAGAUUUGGUUUAAGCUGUUUUUUCUUAUGUAUUUACAAUUAAAUUAAUAAAUUACAUUAACAAUA
rnacentral:lncRNA from 1 species